rnacentral:rRNA from 1 species
GACGAACGCUGGCGGCGUGCUUAACACAUGCAAGUCGAACGGAAAGGCCCUGCUUUUGUGGGGUGCUCGAGUGGCGAACGGGUGAGUAACACGUGAGUAACCUCCCCUUGACUUUGGGAUAACUUCAGGAAACUGGGGCUCAUACCGGAUAGGAGCUCCUGCUGCAUGUUGGGGGUUGGAAAGUUUCGGCGGUUGGGGAUGGACUCGCGGCUUAUCAGCUUGUUGGUGUGGUAGUGGCUUACCAAGGCUUUGACGGGUAGCCGGCCUGAGAGGGUGACCGGCCACAUUGGGACUGAGAUACGGCCCAGAAUCCUACGUGAGGCAGUAGGGGGGAAUAUUGCACAAUGGGCGGAAGCCUGAUACAGCAACGCCGCGUGCGGGAUGACGGCCUUCGGGUUGUAAACCGAUUUCGACUGUGACGAAGAGUGAGUGACGGUAAUGGGUAAGGAAGCACCGGCUAACUACGUG